rnacentral:lncRNA from 1 species
GCUGCCCCAAAGGAUUGUUGUAUUUUGAAGGGGACUGGAAGCAGGAACCACCAUGACUGGUGUGAUUGUACCAGGUCCUUUAAGAAAUAAAUAACUCAAGAGCAGGGAUGCUGGGCCAGGGCUGUGGGCCUUGUCUCUGAUGAUGCACAACUCAGUUAACACUAUUUCGUCCAUCUCUGUGUCUAGUCCUUCAGUCAGUCACAUGUAUAUGUCUUGGACAGACCUCCGAGAUAUGGCUCAUCCCAGCUGAAGUGACUGGUCAUCGGGAUGUUUCAGUUCCACAUAGUAACAUUUGAGAUGUUGCCAUUGGCCCUUCCAGCAGCCAAUGUCUUUAAGACCCUCCCUCUUUUCAUCUUUUCACUGUUAUCCCUGUGUCAGCUUCAUCCAAGGCCCGUUCUCCUCUUGGUCAGAGGACAGCAGCGGGCAGCCGCAGGACCUGCAUCCCGUCGAGAGGUCCGCUUUCCGAGGCACUCUCCUAAGAAGGAAGAAGUCUUUUCCUCGUAAGUCCCCCAGGAAGCCUUUCCUUGGAUCUCACUGGCCAGAAGGGAACGGGCCUCCAUCGUGGUUUGGAUUAAUCAGGCCCAAACCUCUUCCUUGAGUCAUUCGUGAGUGGGGUUGAGGAAGAUUUGAGAGCUGAACAAAUUCGGGCUUCUGUGAGGAUGGAGGAAAAUGGUUGCCUGGGAGGAAGCCAAAAGUGUCCACUGUUCAGUGUCCCGCUGGCCUAGCCUUAGGCCUGUUUGAACCUGCAGAUGAACUUAUUAAUUAACCUUUGACUCUGGAGAGGCAGCGGCUUGUUUUCAGACUCAGGUGCGAGGCGUGAGGGUCAGUUCUCGACUGCCCAGGCCGACGGCGAGGAAGCGGCUAACAGAACAAGUGUGGCUUUCAGUUGUCUCCAGAGUCACACUGGCUACUUCAAGAUGACACUGCCACAGCUGAGGCCAGGCGUGAGUGGACUUCGUGUGGGUGAACCCUCAGCAGUGUCACUGCGCCCAGAUCAGAAGGAGGAGGUACAUUUUGCAGCCAUUAGGCUGAGCAGCCUCGUGCGUCCUGCAGAUGGAGCGUGAGAAAAGGGCAGUAAUUACUUUAUGUAAUGACAUGCUGGAUGAGCCACCUCUGACACAGGAAAUACCGGCAUGAACCAUCCAUCUUUUCAAGCCAACAAGAAACGUUCAUUUUUCAGAUUGGUUGUGUUCAUUAAAACUCAGUAUUUUCUAUCAUUCCAAUUGCUCAUUGGUUUGUCUUCUCCGUGCCUGUCUGACUGAUUGACUUUCCAUGGCACUUCGGCUCCCUGGAGGAAGAAAGGAGAUCUAGAAAUGCCAGGUGUCCCAUAACUACUGCUGGCAGUGCCAUUGGGUAGGCCAACCCACUCUCAUCUCAGUUUGCCUGCAAU